rnacentral:rRNA from 1 species
GAUCAUGGCUCAGAUUGAACGCUGGCGGCAGGCCUAACACAUGCAAGUCGAACGGUAACAGAAAGCAGCUUGCUGCUUUGCUGACGAGUGGCGGACGGGUGAGUAAUGUCUGGGAAACUGCCUGAUGGAGGGGGAUAACUACUGGAAACGGUAGCUAAUACCGCAUAAUGUCGCAAGACCAAAGAGGGGGGACCUUCGGGCCGUCUUGCCAUCGGAUGUGCCCAGAUGGGAUUAG